GCUAGGAGAUGUUGUUUGUAAACCUUUCGUUUUUUAUCACGCGCGUGAAAAACGCAUCAAAAUGCAUUGCACUCGUGCGGAAAAAAAACUGAACGCAAUUGCAGACAAAACUGACUGAACGUGCCUGCAAAAUGGUGCGGGUUUCACUGAACGUACUCUGAACACAUCCGGAGCCAAUGCGUCACGCUCGUGUGAAAGGGGCCUUAGAGAGCUUUAGCAAAAGAAAUGUUAUGGCUAAACCACAGGAAUUCAGAUCAUCAAUUUUAUUUGGUCCCAUUCAAUAUGUGCACAAAAAAUACAUUACAUUUUUAUUACAUUUGUAAGAAAAGGUUCAGUAAAACUUGUAAUUUAUCCAUUUCCAUCUGCAGCCCUGUGUAGUGUUAUCAGUGACGGACAGCUCUCUCUCUCUAUAUACACACAAUGCUGUCAGUCACCGAUAACACCUUCCUUCUGUACCGAUAGGUAUUCACAGGGCUGCAGAUAUAAAUUAAUAAAAUUACAAGUUUUACUGAACCUUUUCCUACAAAACUAUAUCAAUCUGCUCAGCUCCUCCUGCUCUGUAACAUGGUGCUGUCAGAUUGCAUUGCAUUUUUUGGUGACAGAUCCUCUUUAAAGGGUUUGUUUAGUUUAGACAACUCACUUUCAAAUACCCAAAUAGGGCAUUCUGGUUUAAUAGCAGAGGUCUUCUACUCUGGACCCCCAUCUAUUAGCCAGAGGGAGAGUGGCUACAAAGAGCUCUGAAGGACCCUGCAAUACAUGGAAAGUCCAUUUAUAUACUUCUGUGUGAAUGG